CAUCUCCCUGGGUUCUUGGGGCCUGUGCUCACUGAGGGCAGGGGUGGCUCGGGAUACUUCAAGGUCUCAAGUCCCGGCCUUUGAAUGCUGAACUAUUGAUAAAGGAGGGAUGCAGGGAUCAGAUCUGGGUAGGGGGCCAGAAUGUCUGUUCUGUUCCUAUUCUGUUUCAUCACGUGUUUGUGCGGGGUAUGUGUGCAAUUCUUUGAGCUACGUGAAAGUGAGGCUGCAGAUAGCAUGCCAGUUCACCCCCACAUACUCUGCUAGGGAUGAGCGUCUCCUGCGUAACCUCAUUGCACCUGGGGAAGUGCAGUCACUCUGCACAUCAUCUAAUGUGGGAUCUGUAUUUGGUCUCCCAGGUUGUCCCUAAAAUACCUUGAAUAGCUACUCCUUCCACUUCCCUGGACCUGGAUCCAGUCAGGCUCAUGUGGUGCAUUUGUUGCAUGUCCCUCUGGUCUCUUAAUAACCAGCCGUGGUCACCUUUUCCCUCCAUAUCAUUGCUUUAAAGAGUCCAGGCCAGCUGUCUCGUUGAGGAUCCCAUGGCCUGAAUUUGUCUUGAGUGUGUCCUUGUAGUGGGAUUUGACUUUCUACAAUCGCUAUUACUUGUUGUAAACUGGGAGAUGGGGCCAGAGGCCUGGUUGAUUUAGGAGGAAUAUUUUUACCCAAAUUAUAGUCUGUUUAACUCAGAAUAUUUUAGAUGGCACAUGAAAGAAAUGGGGACCAGUGAGAACCUAGAGGUAAUGACCUGAGAGAAAGGAGCUCUGUCUCAGCCCCCCGGACAGAUCCCCUAACCAGCUGCAUGGGAGCUUUGGCCUAAGUGGUGGUGUCCUUCCUGUUCCCACUGUGUACCAGUUACAUGACCAUGUGCCCAUAGGCUGCCUGGCCUCUCCGGGCCCUCUUCGUACUCUGAAAUGGUAAUAAUAAUGAAUGGCUAGUGAGCAUCAAAGGAGAUCAUACCAGCACCUGUCCACACUCUCCUAUUGUUUCUCAGUUCAGUGGGCUGCCUGGAAGGAAAGGAAGCAGGUGGGUACAGGUGAGGCAGAGGGGUGUGCAGCGGGCAAGAGCAGGGCCACCUGAUGGAGCACUGUGUCACCAUCAGUGCAGCCGCUGUUUGGUGUGCCAGCAUCCCCCAACCAGGGUGGCCCUCCAGACUGUGUCACAGAGGUCAUCAGAAAAUGGCCCGAGAGUUUCAUCCCACUCCCUCUGAGGCCUGAGCACCUCCUGCCUCUCUGUGGGGCUGUUCAGGUUAGCUCCUUCAGCUCUAGCUUUCCAGGGAGGUCUCCCCUUUAGCUGACUCAUUGUUUCCCUGUUCAUAUGUCUGGGCUCCAGGAGACUGACUGAGUGUCCUUUUAGUAUGUGUGGGGCUAGUGAAUUUAGUUCUCCACAGUCUUUUUUCUUAGUCACACCCUGCUAGCCCUGCACAUUCCCGCAUGCUCUGAAUUGCUCAUCCUCUCAGGCGUGGCCCAUUGUGUCUCCCCUCCAUCCUCCCUUCUCAGGCAGGUGGCUGCCCUGGCAGAGGCGCACAGGGAUAGGGCAGCCUGCGCCAAAGGACAGGCUGGAGCUUCUCGCCAGGCACCUAGAGGGAAGCUUUUUUAAAUUUUGUGUUUUUUGUAACUACUGGACAUAAUUCUGAUAUUCUAAGGAAUAUGAUGUCAUUCUCUGCUGCCCCUCCCCCCCCACUUUCUCUCCCAGAAGGACACUUUACAGAUAUUUUUUAAGCUGCAUCUCUUGAGGUGUAAUUGACAUAUGGUAAAAUUUACCCUUCCUCGUGUGUACAAUUAGAUGAAUUUUUACCCAUGUGUGCAGUCACAUCACCAACACCACCAACACAGAAUUGCCACACCCCAAAGAAUUCCUUCAUGCCUCUCUGUGACUGGCUAGAUCUUUAAGCAGUGAUAGUAUUUUAGGCUAACAAGCCCUUGACCUGAAAUAGUUGAUGUCGUCAUGCUUAAAAAGGAGGCUGUCGAAAUUUUAUCCAAGUAGCCUGUGCUCAGACUGGACAAAGCCUCCUGCUUUGUGAAUUGUGACUUCAGAGAGGACCCGAUUGGGCAGCUGGUUCCCACUGAGGUUUUGCAGGACUCUCUCUGAUUUGAAGUACUGAUUAGAAUAGUUCAUGUAAUUUUGGUAUUUACCUGUAAGACCAGAAUAACAUGAACUGGAAGAUAAAGGUCACACUUGCCUUUAGUUAAGUGCUUUUUUUUUUAAUCAACUUAAAAAGGAUUAGCGAUUCAAAUGUAAGAACCAUAAAAAUAUACAAGUAUUAGAAUAAAACAAGGAUAAAUUCAUUUAUAACCUAGACGUAGGGAAAGACUUUUAAGCUAGGACUCAAACUCCAGAAAUAAUAGGAUGAUAAAUUUGAUAUUAACUAUAAAAAAAACCUUUAAGGUUUGCAUUGUAAGAAUAUACUAUAACAAACAAAAAUAACAAACUGGAGAAAGUAUUUGUAGCAAAUCACAGAUAAAGUGUAAUACCUCUAAUGCAGAAAAAAGAACUCUUAGAAAUCAAAGUUUAAAAAAUGCCAAAAAUUGCAUAGAAAAAGGGCAAAGACCUGAUGAGAGAGUUCACAAACAAGUCAAAAAAGUCACACACUGGCCCUUCACCACAUGAAAUGAUCAUCAAAUUGAUUUAUUAGGAAGCAAAUACAAACUAAAGCUACUCUCAGAUACCAUUUCUCACCUUUGUGAGUUGACAGAAAAUUUAAAAAAUUUAACUCUUAUGGUAAGCCUGUGGGAGAACAGGCAUUCUUCAAAAUUGCUUUCAGGAGUGAAAAUAGUUGAAUCCCUGUGAAGAGGAAUUUUAUAAUAUCUCGAGUAUCUAUGCACUUACCAUUUGAUCUAGUAACCCCACUUCUAGAAAUUUACCCUGAAGAAAUUUACUACCACAAAUGCAAAACAACAUACAGAAAGUUACCUAUUGCUAUAUAAUUUGUAAUGGCAAAAUAUUUAACACAACUUAAAUGCCCAUCUAUAUACAGGAGACAGUGAAGUCCUAUGCAGCCCUGAGAAAGAAUGAGAGCAAUCUCUAGAACUGGUAUAGAGUAAGUUCCAGGAUAUAUUGGAAAAGCAAGUUGCAAAAAAGUGUGUGUGUGUGUGUCUGUGUGUGUGUGUGUCUAUGUGCGUCUGUGUGUGUGAAGAAAUAAGGAUAAAAUUAAUGAAAAUGGUUAACUACAUGGGUAAGAGGGGGUAGGGAUGCUAGUGACACUUACCCAGAUUUCUAAAAGGAAGAAAAGCAAACUCUAAAUUGAAUACAAACAGAACAAGUGAAUCUAACUAUAUAUCAAAAGAACUCACAGACUUUAGAAUGUAGUACUUUGCAUACCCUGAGUGGAUUAUAUUCUAAAGACACCCCCCCUACCACCAAAAAGAAAGACAACCAACCAAACCAACCUUGAACUUGGUAGUCUUGUUAGUUAUGACAUUGAUGAUAUUUUGGAACCGUGCUGUAUGGUAUUACAGGAUAGAUCAAAUUCAUAAAUAUGUUGACAUUGGAAAUUUGGAUGUGCUAUGUAGAGGAGAUAAGCAUGUGGGAAGAAGGUAAUCCAGGGGUACUGGGUUGAAUUGGAGGUAUCAUUAUGACCCUGUGAUUCAGAAAAGAACUCUGUCUCUGCUCACUAAAUGCCAUCCCAGUACACUAAGCCCAUUAGUGCUCAGAUCUUGAUUUCUAAAUACCAUUCUCCACUAAAAUAAACCAGGGCUUCUUUGGAGAAGUGGUUGACUACAGGGCUGGGGCUGAAAGAAAAAUACAUGUGGAGCCUGGAGCAUCUUGUGCCAGAAAGCAAGGAACUGCUCAGAGAAUAAGGGGUGGUAAGGGAGAGUUAUGUUGGAAAGAAUGCAAAUCUGCUUGAACAGGCUGCUUUGGGCAACUUUGGGACCAUUUAAUUAUUAAAAAAGAUAAUCAUGCCUCAUGUAAUUGUAGAUUAAUGAUACCAAAAAAAAUAUAUAUAUAUAUA